rnacentral:rRNA from 1 species
UACGUAGGGUGCUAGCGUUGUUCGGAAUCAUUGGGCGUAAAGCGCGUGUAGGUUGUCAACUAAGUCGGGUGUGAAAUCCCUGGGCUCAACCCAGGAAGUGCACUCGAAACUGGUUGGCUAGAAAACAGUAGAGGAAGGUGGAAUUCCUAGUGUAGAGGUGAAAUUCGUAGAUAUUAGGAGGAAUACCGGUGGCGAAGGCGGCCUUCUGGACUGAUUUUGACACUGAGACGCGAAAGCGUGGGUAGCAAACAGG